rnacentral:sRNA from 1 species
CACCGCCUGGGGAGUACGACCGCAAGGUUAAAACUCAAAUGAAUUGACGGGGACCCGCACAAGUAGUGGAGCAUGUGGUUUAAUUCGAAGAUACGCGCAGAACCUUACCAACACUUGACAUGUUCGUCGCGACUUUAAGAGAUUAAAGUUUUCGGUUCGGCCGGACGAAACACAGGUGCUGCAUGGCUGUCGUCAGCUCGUGUCGUGAGAUGUUGGGUUAAGUCCCGCAACGAGCGCAACCCUCACUUUUAGUUGCCAUCAUUUAGUUGGGCACUCUGAAAGAACUGCCAGUGAUAAGCUGGAGGAAGGUGGGGAUGACGUCAAGUCCUCAUGGCCCUUACGUGUUGGGCUACACACGUGCUACAAUGGUAUCUACAACAGGAAGCAAGACGGCGACGUUAAGCAAAUCCUUAAAAGAUACCUCAGUUCGGAUUGCACUCUGCAACUCGAGUGCAUGAAGCUGGAAUUACUAGUAAUCGUGGAUCAGCGUGCCACGGUGAAUGCGUUCCCGGGUCUUGUACACACCGCCCGUCACACCAUGGGAGUUGGUUCUACCUUAAGGCAAGGUUUAAAACCCUUGACCACGGUAUAGUCAGCGACUGGGGUGAAGUCGUAACAAGGUAGCCGUAGGGGAACCUGCGGCUGGAUUACCUCCUUUCUAAGGAUGAAUGAAAGUAAAAUUUCAUUCUAAAUAAUAUACAGGUAAUGUUGACCGUCCUCAUUUCUCUUCUUAAAGUUAGUGUUUCUCCUUGCAUGGGGGCCGGUAGCUCAGUUGGUUAGAGCACACCCUUGAUAAGGGUGGGGUCGAAAGUUCGAGUCUUUCUCGGCCCACCAAUUUUAAGAUCAAGGGGGAUUAGCUCAGCUGGGAGAGCGCCUGAUUUGCAUUCAGGAGGUCAGCGGUUCGAUCCCGCUAUCCUCCACCAAACACUUAGUUAUAAAAAUUGUAAAAAAUUAUUAAUUAUAUCAAUAUCUAUAUCCGAACAUUAGUAAUGUUAUUAGCUAAUGUUCAAAAAAAAUUUGAUUCAACACAGAUUUUUUUCUG